UUGCACGCUGGCGGCAGGCCUAACCCAUGCAAGUCGAGCGGAUGAAGGGAGCUUGCUCCUGGAUUCAGCGGCGGACGGGUGAGUAAUGCCUAGGAAUCUGCCUGGUAGUGGGGGAUAACGUCCGGAAACGGGCGCUAAUACCGCAUACGUCCUGAGGGAGAAAGUGGGGGAUCUUCGGACCUCACGCUAUCAGAUGAGCCUAGGUCGGAUUAGCUAGUUGGUGGGGUAAAGGCCUACCAAGGCGACGAUCCGUAACUGGUCUGAGAGGAUGAUCAGUCACACUGGAACUGAGACACGGUCCAGACUCCUACGGGAGGCAGCAGUGGGGAAUAUUGGACAAUGGGCGAAAGCCUGAUCCAGCCAUGCCGCGUGUGUGAAGAAGGUCUUCGGAUUGUAAAGCACUUUAAGUUGGGAGGAAGGGCAGUAAGUUAAUACCUUGCUGUUUUGACGUUACCAACGGAAUAAGCACCGGCUAACUUCGUG
rnacentral:rRNA from 1 species